AGUGGAAUAGCUGGGUCAAAUGGUGGUUCCAUUCCCAGUUUUCUGAGGAAUCUACAUACUGCUUUCCAUAGUGGUUGCACAAAUUUGCAGCCCCACCAGCAAU
rnacentral:pre_miRNA from 1 species